rnacentral:lncRNA from 1 species
UAAAACCAAGCUACACGAAGCAUCAAAGUCCAUGGCUGAAUCAAAACAAAACACGAAAAGUUUCAAAAUUUAAACUAGAAAUAAUGAUUACAUUUCUGGCAUCAGAAUCAAUUAGAACAUUAACUUAAACAAUGAAAUCACAUCCAGAGAUUCGCUACGAAAACGGAAAAAUAUGAUACCAAUUCCCGAUUUUAACAAGAAGGGAUUUUUCAGAAAUCGAAGACUCUUGAGGCCAAAAGGCAAAAGCUAACCUCUUUCACCAAAUCUCAGUGUAGACACUAGAUAGACCCGUGAAUGUGAAAAGAGAGCAAUGACGACGACACUGUUCGACAACGCAGAUAUAAACCAGACCGGGUCGGUUUUACCGGUUAAACUGUCACUCAUUUGCCACUCCGGUCUGAUUUAACAUAAAAACCGGAUGAGAAAAUCUAUGAGGCGCGAGAAUCCUUGUGUAACAGCAUAGAGAUGAAAAAAGUAUCGACAUUGCUCAUCGGUCCAAUUCUAAAGUGCAACCAUCAUCAACCACUAAGCUAGCUAGCAGAAAAAUAGACACAAAAUAAAUAAAAACUAUUGAUAAAGGAACUUACAUCAUUAGUCAUCCUUGUUAAUUAACACUGAUUUUUGAUAAAACCUGAAAAGACAAAAAAAAAAAAAAAAAAAACCAGAAGUGUCAAGUAAAAAAAAAUGAUACGAUUUAACAUGAUCUUCUAGAUGCUACACUAAAAGAGUUUAAGUUAAAUAGAAGCUGAAUCAUUCUUGAGAUCAACCUCCACAAUGAGUACUAUAAAGCAAGCUAGAAACUUUACAUUAUUUAACCACAAGAGCUGCAAUACGACCAGAAUUACAACAUGCAAGUGCUAAAUUAAGCAGAGAAAUUAUAACAUGUAACUGAAUAGAAGUAAAGAACUGUUAAACCAAGGAAUUGAAAUUGGAGAAGAGAACCCAUCACAGCAAAACACAUCUGAACAAAGAGUAGAGAAAAGAAAGAGAAAUGAGAAAAUCAUACUCUG